UCUGCCCCAUGCGUAACGGCCUCUGAUUCUCUCAGGGCGCGGGUAGGCGGGUCUGCAAGAUGGAUGGAUGGAUCCUCUUUCAGGUUCUGGGCUGGACCGGUGAGUAGGGACAAAGCAGGGCCUAAAUGGGAUCGGCCCAAGGUGCAGGGAAGACGAGGCCGGCUUGGUGGAGAGAGCCAGAUAAACCCGGUCGUGAGGCUUAAUGGACUGGACCCAGCUGGCGUGAAUGGCUUGAGG
rnacentral:lncRNA from 1 species